rnacentral:miRNA from 1 species
CCGUGUCUCUCUCUCUCU